rnacentral:rRNA from 1 species
GAGCGGGUGUAGCAAUACACCAGCGGCGAAAGGGACAGUAACACGUGGAUACCUACCCUCAGGACUGGGAUAGCUGCGAGAAAUUGCAGGUAAUACCAGAUGAUAUCUCCGGAUCAAAGGUGUGAAUCCGCCGGAGGAUGGGUCCGCGUCCUAUCAGCUAGUUGGCGGGGUAAUGGCCCACCAAGGCAACGACGGGUAGCAGGUGUGAGAGCACGACCUGCGUCACUGGGACUGAGACACUGCCCAGACACCUACGGGUGGCUGCAGUCGAGAAAUCUUCGGCAAUGAGCGCAAGCUUGACCGAGCGACGCCGCGUGCGGGAUGAAGGCCUUCGGGUUGUAAACCGCUGUCAGUGGGGAGGAAGGUCUGGCGAAGAAUCAGAUUUGACCUAUCCGCAGAGGAAGUGUGGGCUAAGUCCGUUCCAGCAGCCGCGGUAAGACGGACCACACAAACGUUAUUCGGAAUCACUGGGCUUAAAGGGUGCGUAGGCUGUGCAGAAAGUUGGGUGUGAAAUACCUCGGCUCAACCGAGGAACAGCGCCCAAAACUACUGUGCUUGAGGGAGAUAGGGGUGAGCGGAACUUAGGGUGGAGCGGUGAAAUGCGUUGAUAUCCUAAGGAACACCGGUGGCGAAAGCGGCUCACUGGAUCUCUUCUGACGCUGAGGCACGAAAGCUAGGGGAGCGAACGGGAUUAGAUACCCCGGUAGUCCUAGCCGUAAACGAUGAGCACUGGAUUGGAGGGUCCUCCAUAACCUUCCAGUCGUAGCGAAAGUGUUAAGUGCUCCGCCUGGGGAGUAUGGUCGCAAGGCUGAAACUCAAAAGAAUUGACGGGGGCUCACACAAGCGGUGGAGGAUGUGGCUUAAUUCGAGGCUACGCGAAGAACCUUAUCCUAGUCUUGACAUGCAUGGAUUAACUCUCUGAAAGGGGAGCCACGCCCGCAAGGGUGGAACAUGCACAGGUGCUGCAUGGCUGUCGUCAGCUCGUGCUGUGAAGUGUCGCGUUAAGUCGCUUAACGAGCGAAACCCUUGUCACUAGUUGCCAGCAGGUAAAGCUGGGGACUCUAGUGAGACUGCCGGUGUUAAACCGGAGGAAGGUGGGGAUGACGUCAAGUCCUCAUGGCCCUUAUGACUAGGGCUGCACACGUCCUACAAUGGCGCGCACAAAGGGAUGCAAGCUCGCGAGAGCAAGCAAAUCCCAAAAACCGCGCCCCAGUUCGGAUUGCAGGCUGCAACUCGCCUGCAUGAAGCCGGAAUCGCUAGUAAUCGCGGGUCAGCAUACCGCGGUGAAUAUGUUCCUGAGCCUUGUACACACCGCCCGUCAAGCCACGGAAGUGGGGGGUAUCCGAAGUCGCUGCGCCAACCGCAAGGGGGUAAGCGCCGAAGAUAAACUCCGCGAUUGGGACUAAGUCGGAACAAGGUA